AUGUCAAUAUGACAGCAGUUCAAGUUGGGUCUGAAUUUCUUAAUCUAACAACAAAUGUAUCACAUGCUGGAGACUAUAAAGAGUCAAUAAUUGACAGUGGUACAACUUUGGCUUACUUCCCAGAUGUUAUAUACCAGACAUUAGUGAAGAAGAUUCCCUAGUAGCCUGAUAUAAAGUUACAAACCCUUCAUGAGCAGUGUACAUGCUUUCAGCACUCCGGAAGUGUGGAUGAUGAUUUUCCUGCUGUCACCUUUCAUUUUGAAAAUUCAGUCCUCUUGAAAGUGUAUCAUAAUUAGUAUCUCUUCCUCUUUGUAAGUAUCUUCUCUUGUUCAAACUGCUCAUUAACAUGAUUAUUAUACUUUUGAGGCUACUUUGCAAACCAGAUGUUGUUACUUUGUAAUCCUAGUACAGUUGUGUGAAGGUUGUGUGAAGUUAAGAUUUUAGGUUUUUCUGUACUGCAUAGUUUAUGUUGUGUGGUCUAGUAGUGGAAUUACUGUAAAAUCAACCCAUGCACCUUUUAUUUGAAGAUUGGAUGGCAGGAGUGGGUACAUCUUUAGGAAUGGGUACAUCAACAGAUGAAGAAAGAUGGGGUGCGGAAUGGGUACAUCAACAGAUGAAGAAAGAUGGGG